CCCAAGUAAGUCUCUCAGUAAUCCCAUAACUGUCUCACAGAGAUGUCACGAGACUUAAUAUAUUUUGGAGAAAGGCUUUGAUAGAUCCUUGGAUCAAAGGCACAAACCUCGACUGUCCAAGGGAUGGACCCUGACUGUCCCACGGAAUGAACCCUGACCACAAUGAGGAUGAUUCUGGAAUCCUGGACAGAACCAAGGAAGACUGAAGACACUGGACCACAGGAACAGGACGCGAUGAUCACCAGGGGUGCUGGAACAAUUUGUAUAAUGGAGGUGCUGAAAGCCAAUGAAGCAAACUGUAAACCUGUAUAUGACGGAAUCCAUUUCAAGACAGGAGGUGCUGCCAUACCCCUAGUUCGAGCACCUAUGCUCUGCUUUUCAGAACACACAUUGGGCACUUGCUAUUUGUGACAAACUGUUAUAUGUAGGUCUAUGGUUAUAAACUCUAUAGCGUUUCUUGAUGGAUUACAGCUCAUGAACAAUUCUUUUUCCAAAAUGUGUCUUUCCAUUUGAUUAGACUAAAGAUAACACAUCAAUGUACUGAAGUAUAUUUUCUCUUAAGAUAUCAUGCAAUUUUAAUUAAAUCUUUUUCAUUUCUUUUGACAUGUGAAAUAUGAGCUCUCUUGUGAAAAGCGUCUCUUGAUUACUGGGCACAGACUCUGACGGGGAAGAUAUAAUUCUCUCUGCAUACAGUAUAAAUCUCAUUUGUUUGGUUUUUUUUCUCCCAGCAUAACAGAUAUUCGUAACAUUACAUAGCUACCCUUUGCUGAUAUCAGUGGA